UAUGCAGUGCACGAAAACGGGUGCAAUGACAACAAGUGAAAGUAAAAUAUUUAAGACAGAUAAUCCAUUGACAACCAAACAGCCGGGGGAAGCAAACAAGAAAGGUAAGUCCUUCAGUAGCUAAUUGAAUACAGUACCCACAAUAAUUGCACAGUGCACUUUCAACUGUUGAAGCCGAGGUUUGAGUUUUAAUUUGGAAACUGUAUCAACACAGAUCAAGUCAUCCAUAUUGUGAGUUCAGGUGCAAUUUCUGUUUUCUCCUUUGUGGUCCAUCUGAAUAGCAUGCUGUAGUUAAGAUACCUACCAUCAGGUUGCAUUAUAUAGGAAGUUUUAUUUAUUAUUCUGGAUUCACACUUGAGCAUGGGUACCUCCAAGACAGCCCAGGCCUAUAGCCUGCAAAAUGCAAUUUCCUGUAACAGAAAUUUUUAUUUGUAGAUUUCUGUCAGAACCAGCAACAGCCUAAAUGCCUGUGUUCAUGACCACCUGAUCAGGAUAGCAAUACAUUUUACUCUAUCCCACAUGGCAGUCAUAUUAAAUAAAAUACUGAACAACGUGUAUUUAUAAAGAUAGUAAACAUGAUAAAUCGCCCGAACUGCGGAAAGCUGUCGUGCGAAGUUAGUGGCGAUAUCCUUUAACGUGUUCUACACAGUUUGUGACGGGGUGGAAAUCCCAUUUCAACAUGGGUGAAAACUACAAACCGCCUGCUUGCCAACACUCGAAGAACAUCUCAACUAUAAUGUAGUGCAGCUUUUAUUAUUCUUAGCAGUUUUCAUAAGCAAUGCCAUAUGAUAAACACGGUUGACUGUAUUAGCUUGGAUAGUUACAAUGCUGAUAUUAAUAUGAACGUGAUGCAUUAUAGUAAACCAAGUGGUGAGCUGCCGCAAUGUUGUUUUCCAAAUGAAAGAGUGGGCCUUUAACUGCCAUCCCAAUUCUAUUCUCUCUACACCGUAUGAGCAUACUGGCUCUAAAAGGAGUCUCUGGGGAGAAAGCGGAGGUGGGCAGUGCCUACAAAGAAAUGUCACUCUGAUGGAAUUGACAUUUACAAUGAAGCUGGAAGCCAAAUCCAGCAGGAGAGACCAGUCUCACCUGUACCCAGCUGUCUGUCCAUGCAAACAGACAUGUCUAUUGAUCCUCCGUUCAACUUCAUGACAGAAAAUAUAUCUACUGAUCAAAAGCCUUUCUGCAGCAGAGACCAGUUCUGUCCACGAACAGUGACCAGUCAAUGGGACAUCAAGAACACUUCAGGGAUGGGAACACUGGGCAUGCGGCUAAGUUUUCUGCUGACAGGAUCCAAGAGGAGAGAGCCAAUUCUCCUGGACCAAGCUUUGAGUCCUUUAAGAGUGACUGGUCAAUGGUUCAUCCUAAAACACAAUUCGGGUAGGAAGGCAUUUCUACUGAUCAAAGAGACCUGCAAGAGAGAUCGGAGUCAGACAUUCCCGUGGCCGGUCCACGGCAGACAUGUCCUCCAUAUUCAAGUUAGUUGAAGACCAAGUCAUCACAUUUGUAAAGAGUUAAUUGAAGAAGUUCAAGAAGAUUCGGAGUCCAGAUCACCCAGAAUGCUCUAACAGUCAGGGGAAGGGUGGUGGUGUAUGGUGAAGAUGAGAACCAGGAGAGCAGUGCCAGAGAGGGGGCUCUGAAGAUCACACUGCACAUCCUGAGGAACAUGAACCAGAAAGCGCUCACUGACACACUGGAGAACAAUCUUUUAGGUGAGCUUGCUGUGUGUCAACCUAAACUCAACUUUAACAAAAGGAAGUUUGAAUGCGUGUUUGAAGGAAUGGCUACACAAGGAAACCCAACACUUCUCAAUCAGAUCUACACCGAGCUCUACAUUCACAGAGGGUGGAAGUGGAGAGGGCAAUAAUGAACAUGAGGUGAGACAGAUUGAGACAGCAUCCAGGAGAUCAGCAACACAAGAGACACCGUUCAAAAUGCAAUGACAUCUUUGAACCCUUACCUGAGCAAGACAAACCAACAGAACUGUCCUGACAAAGGGAGUUGCUGGCAUUGGCAGAAGUUAAUUCUGGACUGGGCUGAAGGAAAAGCCAAUCAAGAUAUCCAGUUGAUAUUUUCACUUCCUUUUCAAGAGCUGAUUUAAAAAAAAAAAUGGAAAUAAAAGUCCGCAAUCUCAGACUUCAACAACUAUAAUGUGCUGUUUGUAUUUGAUGGUCUGGUGUGAUGUUUCAAAGUCAACCUCAGUGGAAGUGCUGCUGACAAACCUCAUUCAGGGGAAUCUGCUUCCCUAUGCUCACAUCUGGAUAACCUCCCGACCAGCAGCUGCUAGUCACUUUGAAUUUGUAUACCUGAGUUUUUCUCAGUGUACAUUGUGGAUCCUCCAGUAUGGCAGAGUGCAGCUUCACCCCGGAGUCUCCUGGGUGAUUGUAGCUCAGGUCCAGCUUUCUCACAUGAAGGUUUGGACGGCAGCACUUCAGCUGGAGAAGCACAGCCUUCCUUUGCGACUCCACAGACGGACAAACUGCAAAUAAUAUGAAUUUUACACUAAGUUGUUGUUUGGAAGUAGGCUAGAGUGUGAUCCGCCUCGAUCCACAUAGAGUGAAAAUCUAGUAACAAACUGUUUGAUGCUUAAAAUGUGAGUUUACUUUAGUAAUUUUAAUAUCAUAAACUGAUUUUACUAACCUGAAUGUCUGCAGUUUAGACCCUCCAGUCCAGCAGAGCAGCUUCACUCCUGAAUUCUGUGUGAACCAUGAUGCAGAACGCUGGAUAAAAUCUGGCCUAAGAAAAUGUGACUUAAUUUCUCUUGAAAGCUACAAACACAAAUGAUUCAAUGCCUGUGAGCCAACACUGGACGCAAACACGGCACACAGAAAACUCUGUCAGAGGGGAACAUGGGGGAGAGAAGAGCAGCCGUAUCCUGAUCACCCAGAGAGAUGUGAGGGCUGUUGGCAGGUGCUGUGUAAAGAGGGUCUGAAUAGGCGCAGUUAUUGGGAGUCGGAUCGAAGAGGAAAUGGGAGUGACAGAGAAACAUCGGCAGAAGUGGAGUUUGACUGUUGGCUUCGACGUAAUGACAAGUCCUGGAGUUUGCGAUGCUCUGACAACAGUUGCGUCGCCUUCCAUAAUGCUAGGAGUAUUGCUUUACCUGCUCCCUCGUCUUAUUCGAACAGAGGAGUGUAUCUGGACUGGCUGGCACUCUGUCCUUCUACAGUGUCUCCUCUGGUACACUGACCCAUCUGCAUACAUUCUACUCCACAUUUUCUAACCCUCUUUACCCAGGGUUUAGGGUUGGGAAUGAUGAGUGUGCCCGUGUCAGGUAGAGCAGCCUCCAAUUUGAAACUCAGGCCAGAAUUCCAUCUAGUUGAUUUUGGCAUUGCGGUGUUAGAAGUACGUUCACGUUGCAGUGCAACGUGUUCGCUCCAGACUUGAUACUCGAUUUAGAAAUCAGUAAUCCCAUACUACCUGGUUUUAGUGGAAGCCCUGGUAGGAUGUUGAGUUACCCACCCUCCCUUCUAUUUUUAUCUUGAUAAUUCAUUGCAGUCACGCAGAUUUUAAAUCUGUGACACACUGCUGUGCAAAUCAAACACAAUUUCAGUGACCUUAAAUAAAAUGGCAUUUAUUUAUUUUUCUACUCUGCUUUACCUACAGCAAACAACAUUUUUGGUUUUGUUGAAUUUAGCAUCCUGAGUGAGAGAAUUUGUAUGUUUUAUCUGGAAUAAAAAUCUAAGAUGUGCCCAGAUCACAGCCUUAAACACCACUUGUAAUUUAGGAAAUAUGUGUUGAACAUUAAUGUAGGCUAAUUGAGUUAUAAAUCACAUACUAUAGCCAGAUCUCCAGGCCAUUGAACUUCUGUUACCUGGUCUCAGAGCCACAAACCAUUUUAUGUAGUGAAAGUGUCUGGAUGAAAAAUGCUGUUGAGGAGAAUGUGACCAUUUUGGCUGAGAGACCACUGAAAAUGUUAUCCCGCUAGAUAGUGAUGCGAUAAAUACAUGUAAGUAACUACUACCGUCCCAAGAGGAGUGGCGGUUCUGACAUCAGCAGCACUAGCUAUUAUGCAUCCUCAUCGGAUAAAGAGUACUUCCCCCAAAUUUGGGUAGGAAAAAUGUACUUUACUUGCCUAUAUACUAUACAGAGCAAAAAAAAAACAGUAUGGCAUUGCCCCAGAUAUUCUGUAUUUCACACUCAAUAUUCCUACAGUAAAAUCAUAAUCAAUACUCAGUCUGCCUGUACUUUAAUAUAUUCUUUAUUUUCUUAAACAAAAUUGAAGUAAAAACCUUUAUGUAGAAAGACAAAUUCCCUGUCAGUAGCGUUCCACCUAAGGUUCUUGAUUUAGGGCCUCCAGUAGACUCCCGUCUAUUGGGUUGUUCUCUUCUACUGUGUGAGUCAACGUAAGAAUAUUACACCACAGAGUCAGUACCAUCUCUAACUCCCUACUAGCUCAUGAAUUAACUCAUGCAGACUUUCGAGAAACACAGUGGGAAGAAUGUUAACAGCAAAUAGUGUUAAAAGAAAGUUUAAAACAGCAGUGUCCAUUACAAAGGCUGAAGAAAGCAAACAUGUGAGCUGUAUAGUACACAUCGUUGUCCAGUCACCUCUGGCAGUGUUUUCAACUACUAUUGAAAUCGGGGG